CCUACGGGAGGCAGCAGUGGGGAAUUUUGGACAAUGGGCGCAAGCCUGAUCCAGCCAUGCCGCGUGCGGGAAGAAGGCCUUCGGGUUGUAAACCGCUUUUGUCAGGGAAGAAAAGGUUCUGGCUAAUACCUGGGACUCAUGACGGUACCUGAAGAAUAAGCACCGGCUAACUACGUGCCAGCAGCCGCGGUAAUACGUAGGGUGCAAGCGUUAAUCGGAAUUACUGGGCGUAAAGCGUGCGCAGGCGGUUAUGCAAGACAGAGGUGAAAUCCCCGGGCUCAACCUGGGAACUGCCUUUGUGACUGCAUAGCUAGAGUACGGUAGAGGGGGAUGGAAUUCCGCGUGUAGCAGUGAAAUGCGUAGAUAUGCGGAGGAACACCGAUGGCGAAGGCAAUCCCCUGGACCUGUACUGACGCUCAUGCACGAAAGCGUGGGGAGCAAACAGGAUUAGAUACCCUGGUAGUCCACGCCCUAAACGAUGUCAACUGGUUGUCGGGAGGGUUUCUUCUCAGUAACGUAGCUAACGCGUGAAGUUGACCGCCUGGGGAGUACGGCCGCAAGGUUGAAACGUCAAAGGAAUUGACGG
rnacentral:rRNA from 1 species